rnacentral:rRNA from 1 species
CCUGAGUACGACGGAGCACGUGAAAUUCCGUCGGAAUCUGGGAGGACCAUCUCCUAAGGCUAAAUACUCUCUAGUGACCGAUAGUGAACCAGUACCGUGAGGGAAAGGUGAAAAGCACCCCGGAAGGGGAGUGAAAUAGAACCUGAAACCGUGUGCUUACAAGUAGUCAGAGCCCGUUAAUGGGUGAUGGCGUGCCUUUUGUAGAAUGAACCGGCGAGUUACGAUUUGAUGCAAGGUUAAGCAGUAAAUGUGGAGCCGUAGCGAAAGCGAGUCUGAAUAGGGCGUUUAGUAUUUGGUCGUAGACCCGAAACCAGGUGAUCUACCCUUGGUCAGGUUGAAGUUCAGGUAACACUGAAUGGAGGACCGAACCGACUUACGUUGAAAAGUGAGCGGAUGAACUGAGGGUAGCGGAGAAAUUCCAAUCGAACCUGGAGAUAGCUGGUUCUCUCCGAAAUAGCUUUAGGGCUAGCCUCAAGUGAUGAUUAUUGGAGGUAGAGCACUGUUUGGACGAGGGGCCCCUCUCGGGUUACCGAAUUCAGACAAACUCCGAAUGCCAAUUAAUUUAACUUGGGAGUCAGAACAUGGGUGAUAAGGUCCGUGUUCGAAAGGGAAACAGCCCAGACCACCAGCUAAGGUCCCAAAAUAUAUGUUAAGUGGAAAAGGAUGUGGCGUUGCCCAGACAACUAGGAUGUUGGCUUAGAAGCAGCCAUCAUUUAAAGAGUGCGUAAUAGCUCACUAGUCGAGUGACACUGCGCCGAAAAUGUACCGGGGCUAAACAUAUUACCGAAGCUGUGGAUUGUCCUUUGGACAAUGGUAGGAGAGCGUUCUAAGGGCGUUGAAGCAUGAUCGUAAGGACAUGUGGAGCGCUUAGAAGUGAGAAUGCCGGUGUGAGUAGCGAAAGACGGGUGAGAAUCCCGUCCACCGAUUGACUAAGGUUUCCAGAGGAAGGCUCGUCCGCUCUGGGUUAGUCGGGUCCUAAGCUGAGGCCGACAGGCGUAGGCGAUGGAUAACAGGUUGAUAUUCCUGUACCACCUAUAAUCGUUUUAAUCGAUGGGGGGACGCAGUAGGAUAGGCGAAGCGUGCGAUUGGAUUGCACGUCUAAGCAGUAAGGCUGAGUAUUAGGCAAAUCCGGUACUCGUUAAGGCUGAGCUGUGAUGGGGAGAAGACAUUGUGUCUUCGAGUCGUUGAUUUCACACUGCCGAGAAAAGCCUCUAGAUAGAAAAUAGGUGCCCGUACCGCAAACCGACACAGGUAGUCAAGAUGAGAAUUCUAAGGUGAGCGAGCGAACUCUCGUUAAGGAACUCGGCAAAAUGACCCCGUAACUUCGGGAGAAGGGGUGCUCUUUAGGGUUAACGCCCAGAAGAGCCGCAGUGAAUAGGCCCAAGCGACUGUUUAUCAAAAACACAGGUCUCUGCUAAACCGUAAGGUGAUGUAUAGGGGCUGACGCCUGCCCGGUGCUGGAAGGUUAAGAGGAGUGGUUAGCUUCUGCGAAGCUACGAAUCGAAGCCCCAGUAAACGGCGGCCGUAACUAUAACGGUCCUAAGGUAGCGAAAUUCCUUGUCGGGUAAGUUCCGACCCGCACGAAAGGCGUAACGAUUUGGGCACUGUCUCAACGAGAGACUCGGUGAAAUCAUAGUACCUGUGAAGAUGCAGGUUACCCGCGACAGGACGGAAAGACCCCGUGGAGCUUUACUGUAGCCUGAUAUUGAAAUUCGGCACAGCUUGUACAGGAUAGGUAGGAGCCUUUGAAACGUGAGCGCUAGCUUACGUGGAGGCGCUGGUGGGAUACUACCCUAGCUGUGUUGGCUUUCUAACCCGCACCACUUAUCGUGGUGGGAGACAGUGUCAGGCGGGCAGUUUGACUGGGGCGGUCGCCUCCUAAAAGGUAACGGAGGCGCUCAAAGGUUCCCUCAGAAUGGUUGGAAAUCAUUCAUAGAGUGUAAAGGCAUAAGGGAGCUUGACUGCGAGACCUACAAGUCGAGCAGGGUCGAAAGACGGACUUAGUGAUCCGGUGGUUCCGCAUGGAAGGGCCAUCGCUCAACGGAUAAAAGCUACCCCGGGGAUAACAGGCUUAUCUCCCCCAAGAGUUCACAUCGACGGGGAGGUUUGGCACCUCGAUGUCGGCUCAUCGCAUCCUGGGGCUGUAGUCGGUCCCAAGGGUUGGGCUGUUCGCCCAUUAAAGCGGUACGCGAGCUGGGUUCAGAACGUCGUGAGACAGUUCGGUCCCUAUCCGUCGUGGGCGUAGGAAAUUUGAGAGGAGCUGUCCUUAGUACGAGAGGACCGGGAUGGACAUACCUCUGGUGUACCAGUUGUCGUGCCAACGGCAUAGCUGGGUAGCUAUGUGUGGACGGGAUAAGUGCUGAAAGCAUCUAAGCAUGAAGCCCCCCUCAAGAUGAGAUUUCCCAACUUCGGUUAUAAGAUCCCUCAAAGAUGAUGAGGUUAAUAGGUUCGAGGUGGAAGCAUGGUGACAUGUGGAGCUGACGAAUACUAAUCGAUCGAAGACUUAAUCAA